CUACGAGGACGAACGCUGGCGGCGUGCCUAACACAUGCAAGUCGAACGGAACUUCUUUUAAAAGGGAUUUCUUCGGAAUGAAUUUGAUUAAGUUUAGUGGCGGACGGGUGAGUAACGCGUGAGUAACCUGCCUCUGAGAGGGGAAUAACAUUCUGAAAAGAAUGCUAAUACCGCAUAACAUAUAUUUAUCGCAUGGUAGAUAUAUCAAAGAUUUAUCGCUUUGAGAUGGCCUCGCGUCCGAUUAGCUAGUUGGUGAGGUAACGGCCCACCAAGGCAACGAUCGGUAGCCGGACUGAGAGGUUGAACGGCCACAUUGGGACUGAGACACGGCCCAGACUCCUACGGGAGGCAGCAGUGGGGAAUAUUGCACAAUGGGGGAAACCCUGAUGCAGCGACGCCGCGUGGAGGAAGAAGGUCUUCGGAUUGUAAACUCCUGUUGUUGAGGAAGAUAAUGACGGUACUCAACAAGGAAGUGACGGCUAACUACGUG
rnacentral:rRNA from 1 species